GUUUUUAUUGCUGCAGUGAUGAUGAGAGGGAGCUGAGAACGGCUGCAUGCAGCAAGAAGCACAGGCCAUCACAAGAUGUCGGGGAUUUCAUUUUCCACUGGACCCUCAAAGGGUUAAAUGACGAUCCUGUCCUGUAAAUGACUGGAGCCUCUUCACUGAAGGCACCAAGGAUAUUCAACUGAUCUCCAAGGCGCCUGAUUUCUUCUGAUGAAAAUGACGGGCCCAAUUUUGGCAAGAGGGAAGUUUCAAGAUCUCCAUUUUUACAUUUUGCACCACUGGACAUUUAGGUAGUGCUGUUCCUGUCCGUUAGCUGACCAUACUUCCAAUUAUUCUAUAUACUCCUCUUAGAAUUAAAACUAACCAUAACCUACUAACACAUCCAUCA